rnacentral:lncRNA from 1 species
UACACACGCGCGCGCACACGUGUGUGUGUGUGUGUGUGUGUGUUUACUGGGGAUUGAAGGGGGGGGGCACUUUACCACACCCAACCACAUCCCAGCUCUUUUUGAUAUUUUUAUUUAGAGACAGGAUCUCAUUAAGUUGCUAGGGCCUUGUUAAGUUGUUGAGGCUGGCUUUGAAUUUGCAAUCCUCCUACCUCAGCCUCCCAAACUGCUGCAAUUACCGUUAUGAGCUACUGUUCCUGGCUACCUAUCAUAUAUAUUGAAAAUACACUUAUUAUGUUAAUACCUGAAAACAAUUAUAACCUCCUUACCUUUAAUUAAACUAAAUUUUCAUUUUUCUCUGGCUUCUUCCUAUCUUUAUCCAGCUACAUUAAAAAAUAUUUAAGUAUGUAUUAUGUGCUAGCACUGUGCUAGGCACUGGGAAUCCAAAAGAUUAUAGUCUACCCCCAAGAUGCUCAGGGUUGUAGCUCAUUGGUAAAGUGCCCCUUGGUUCAAUCCUCAGUACAAAAAAAGAAAAAAAAAAAAGGUGUGGGGCUGGGGUUGAGGAUCAGUGGUAAAGUGCUCAUCUAGCAUGUGCAAGGGCCUGGGUUUGAUCCUUAGCACCACAUAUAAAUAAAUAAAAUAAAGGUAUUGUGUUCAACUACAACUAAAAAAUAGAUAUAUAAAAAUUAUUUUUUAAAAAGUGAUAAGAAUUAAUUUAGGCUGUGACUACAGUGUUGUUGGCACAGUAAUCACAGGUGUGAUUUUUGUUCUAUUUUUAGAAUACAUGUGUUUGGAGUCACCAGAGAGGUGACCCCUAGAAUAUUCAUGAUGAUUAUGAACCUGCCAGAGAAGCUAUAGAGAAGUGAAGGACUGAGCAUCUAUACUUAAGUGACUGGAGACAAACAUGCUGUGGAAAGAUACUGAGAGGCUGGGGAUGUAGUUCAGUGGUAUAUUGUUUGCCGGGCAUACAGGAGGCCCUGGGUUGGAUUGCCAGCACUGCACAACAAAACAAAACACACCGAGAAGGUAUAUUUGGAAAGAUAGAAAAAAAGUUAUGUUAGUGUCACAGGAACUUUAAAAAAAAAAGUCUUUCCAGAAAGGAGAUUUUCUAAGCACAUAAGGCCAGGUCAAAGAGAAUGAUAAUUUUUAUGGAGAUUACUGACAACCUUCAAAAGCCUAGUUUUAGUUAAAGCAAGGAUAGAAGCCAGAUCAAGAAGGUGGGCAAAAAGUAGGUGAUGAGGAAAUGGUAAAUCUAGCUGUGAAAAGGAGCUAGAAAAUCAAGUGGAAAAUUUUCUCCCCAUCCACGGAAAGAUCUGCUCACACGUUAAGACUAUGGAGGUAGAGGCCCAGGGAGAGAGUGAAUAAUA